UAUAGCUGUGAGGCUAUGCCGGUGC
rnacentral:piRNA from 1 species